rnacentral:rRNA from 1 species
UACGUAGGGGGCUAGCGUUGUCCGGAAUCAUUGGGCGUAAAGCGCGUGUAGGCGGUCCGGUAAGUCAGCUGUGAAAGUCCAGGGCUCAACCCUCGAAUGCCGGUGGAUACUGUCGGGCUAGAGUGCGGAAGAGGCGAGUGGAAUUCCUGGUGUAGCGGUGAAAUGCGCAGAUAUCAGGAGGAACACCGAUUGCGAAGGCAGCUCGCUGGGACGUCACUGACGCUGAGACGCGAAAGCGUGGGGAGCAAACAGG